rnacentral:rRNA from 1 species
UACAGAGGUCCCAAGCGUUGUUCGGAUUCACUGGGCGUAAAGGGUGCGUAGGCGGUCGAGUAAGUCUGACGUGAAAUCUCCGGGCCUAACCCGGAAACUGCGUUGGAAGCUACUUGGCUAGAGUGCGGGAGAGGAGAGUGGAAUUCCUGGUGUAGCGGUGGAAUGCGCAGAUAUCAGGAAGAACACCCGUGGCGAAGGCGGCUCUCUGGAACGCAACUGACGCUGAGACGCGAAAGCGUGGGGAGCAAACAGG